GCACGGGACUCUGCUCCUUUCCAACACCCACACUUCUUUCUUUCUAUACCCUUCUUCUUCAACAAACAGCUCUCCCUUGUUCAUUUUCGUUUGGUCCGUCCAUUUUGUUUGUUUUGUGUAAGCAGGUUGGUGCUGUGCUGUUUCUCUCUUUCUUUCUUUCCUCCACUAUCCAUCCAUUGUUGCAUUCCUCCGUUUCUGCUUCUUCUUCGCUUUGGAUCCCCCUCCAAAAGGAAGAAAGAGUUAUGGCGGGAUGUACUUCUUGAUCACUGUGAUUUCUGUAGUUUGAUCACCGUAGUGUUUGUUUCCUCCCUCCCUCCCUCCACCUGGGUUUUGACGAAACUUGGAUUUCCAUGUUACCUACUACUGCUUACUGCAAAUAAAAUAAUAUUAGUAAGCAAAGCUUAGCACGCAAACGUAUGGAUUCGUUGGAACUUGAUUCGUCCUUAUGACCACCAGUACCUCAUCAUCCGACUGACCAACUUUCGCUCCACGCUUCACCUUUGAAAUUUUCUCUUCCUCUGUUUUACGAAUAUAAAUAUGGAAGAUCAGUGAUGCUUAAUUAACUAUAGUCAUCUCAUCCUUUCCAAAUAACUCUCUCUCUCUUGCUUUUUUAAAUUUAAUUUCAGGUCUGGUUUGAAGUUUAAUUGCUGUUGCUUUUUGACUUUCUGGUGAUUCGUCCAUCUCCGUAUGUCAUCGCAAAUGAAGUAUUUUCAAAAUGGGAGUCCCUUUGUUUCUUGCUUGAUUUUCUGACUUUUGAUUUCCAAAAAAAUAAAUUGCAGGUUAUUAUAUUGUUUGAGAAUCAUCAUCCAUGGCUGAUCGCGUGAUCACGCGUGUUCACAGCAUCAAGGAGCGCUUUGAUGGAACUCUGGCUGCCAACCGCAACGAGCUCGUCUCCUUCCUCUCCAGGUAACGAACUCCUCAUCACUCCUGCAUGCAAUGCAAUUGCGGAGUCAACAACUCUAGUAAGUAGUAAUGGCUUUUUGUCUUGCCUUUCCGAGCAGGAUUGAGGCGAAGGGAAAGGGAAUUCUGCAGCACCACCACAUCGUUUCAGAGUUUGAAGCGAUCCCUGAGGCGAACCAGACGGUUCUCCAGGAAGGUGUGUUUGGCGAGGUGCUGAGAUCUGCUCAGGAAGCGAUCGUGCUUCCCCCCUGGGUUGCUCUGGCUGUUAGACCAAGGCCUGGUGUCUGGGAAUACUUUAGGGUCAAUCUCCAUGCUCUAGUUGUGGAGGAGCUCACUGUGCCUGAGUAUCUUCACUUCAAGGAAGAGCUCGUCGAUGGAACGUAAGUAAUAUCAUGAUCAGCUCUGUUUUUAAUUUCAUUCUUUCGUUUGGAAUGGAAAAAUCAAAUUUUUAAGAUGAAAUUGCGAUUGUUGCAGUGCUAAUGGAAACUUCGUGCUGGAACUGGACUUCGAGCCGUUCAACGCUUCAUUCCCACGCUCCAGCCUCUCCAAAUCCAUCGGCAAUGGCGUUGAGUUUCUCAACCGUCACUUGUCCGCCAAGCUGUUCCAUGACAAGGAGAGCAUGCACCCGCUCCUUGAGUUCCUCAAGGUUCACUGCCACAAAGGAAAGGUAUAACUAUAAACCCUAGAAAAUGAACAAUUGUUUGGUACGUGGGUCUCAGCACUAAUUUUAUUUUGUUUGGCUGGUGAUUUUGGGGGUUACAGAACAUGAUGCUGAACGAUAGGAUUCAGAACUUCAACUCUCUGCAACAUGUGCUGAGGAAGGCUGAAGAGUACCUCAUAACUCUACCUGCGGAGACGCCUUACUCCCAGUUCGAGCACAAAUUCCAGGACAUUGGACUUGAGAGAGGGUGGGGUGACUGUGCUGAGCGUGCCCUUGAGAUGAUCCAGCUUCUGCUGGACCUUCUCGAGGCUCCUGAUCCUUGCACCCUCGAGACUUUCCUCGGCAGAAUCCCGAUGGUGUUCAAUGUUGUCAUCAUGUCUCCUCAUGGCUACUUCGCCCAGGACAACGUGUUGGGUUACCCGGACACUGGUGGCCAGGUUGUGUGUGUUGGGUUACCCGGACACAGGUGGCCAGGUUGUGUACAUCUUGGAUCAAGUUCGCGCUUUGGAGGAGGAAAUGCUCCUCCGUAUCAAGCAGCAAGGCCUUGACAUCACCCCUCGUAUUCUUAUUGUAUGAACUUUUCCUUGUUUUGCAUAAAUGACCUGCGCUGUUCUUUCUUCUAAUCUGUUGUUUGUUGAUGUGUGAUAUGUGCAGAUUACUCGUCUCCUUCCUGAUGCAGUUGGAACCACUUGUGGGCAACGCAUGGAGAGAGUGUAUGGAACUGAAUACUCCGAUAUUCUUCGAAUCCCCUUUAGGACUGAGAAGGGCAUUGUUCGCAAAUGGAUCUCUAGAUUUGAAGUCUGGCCAUACCUAGAGACCUUUACUGAGGUUCAUCUUCUUUUGUUUUCAUAUUCUGAUCAUGCAACUAUUAUAUUUGCUUAUUUGCCUUACAGGUCAAGCAGAGCUUUACUUUCCUAUUUUCCCUAUAUACCAUUUUAGGAUGUAGCUGUUGAAAUUGGCAAGGAGUUUCAAGGCAAACCCGAUCUCAUCAUUGGAAACUACAGCGAUGGAAACAUCGUUGCUACAUUGCUGUCACAUAAAUUGGGGGUCACAGAGGUAUAAUUCUUCUUUGUGGAUAACUAGCUGUACUGAUCAAUUGCAACCUUGUUUCUGGGGUUUUGAUUCUUUUAUGUUGGGUUUUUUUAUGCAGUGUACAAUUGCUCAUGCUCUUGAGAAAACCAAGUAUCCAGAGUCUGAUAUCUACUGGAAGAAGAUGGAUGAGAAGUACCACUUCUCUUGUCAGUUCACUGCUGAUCUCAUUGCCAUGAAUCAUGCUGAUUUCAUCAUCACCAGUACCUUCCAAGAGAUUGCUGGAAGGUGAAAUUCUCGCCAAGAAAAGAAACUCAACCCAGACUAUUUCCAUUUUCCCAUUUCAUUUGAUAUGUUUUUCAACCUGCUGCAAGUCUUACUUAACUUGUCAUAUUGGAUUUGCAUUACAGCAAGGAUACAGUGGGACAAUAUGAGAGCCACACCUCUUUCACUCUUCCUGGCCUCUACCGUGUUGUUCACGGUAUCAAUGUCUUCGACCCCAAGUUCAACAUUGUUUCCCCCGGUGCGGACAUGAGCAUCUACUUCUCUUACAAUGAGGAGAACCGUAGGCUCAAGCAUUUCCAUUCCGAAAUCGAGGAACUUCUCUACAGUGAUGUCGAGAACAAAGAACACUUGUGAGUACAGCUAUACCACAUUGCUUGCCCACUACUACUUGACCGAAUUUGUGAAACCGGUAGAUCUUACUUAUUUACGCGUUGAUGUGGUCAUUUAAUAGGGGGGUGCUCAAGGAUCGCAGCAAGCCAAUCAUCUUCACAAUGGCAAGGCUGGACAGGGUAAAGAACUUGACCGGGCUCGUAGAGUGGUACGGUAAGAACAAGAAGCUGCGAGAAUUAGUGAACCUUGUGAUCGUCGGAGGAGACAGGAGGAAGGAGUCGAAAGAUCUGGAAGAGCAAGCUGAGAUGAAGAAGAUGUACAGCCUGAUCGAGGAGUACAAGCUGCAAGGACAGUUCAGGUGGAUAUCCUCUCAGAUGGACCGGGUGAGGAACGGCGAGCUCUACCGGUGCAUUGCUGACACCAAGGGAGCAUUUGUGCAGCCCGCUCUUUACGAGGCGUUUGGCCUCACGGUUGUGGAAGCCAUGACCUGUGGUUUGCCUACAUUUGCCACCAACAACGGUGGGCCGGCUGAGAUCAUCGUUCAUGGCAAGUCGGGGUACCACAUUGACCCGUACCAUGGGGACCAGGCUGCUGAGCUUCUGGUGGACUUCUUCAAGAAGUCGAAGGCUGAUCCGUCCCACUGGGAAAAGAUAUCUGAUGGAGGACUCCAGCGUAUUCAAGAGAAGUAUGCUUUGGGUUCUUUUUCUUUAGAAUUAGUAGUCUUGUUGAGUGAGGACAUGAAUGUAAUUUUGUUUAUUGGUUGUGGUUGUGGAAUAUAGGUAUACAUGGCAGAUAUACUCGCAGAGGCUGCUGACACUGACGGCAGUAUAUGGAUUCUGGAAGCAUGUUUCGAACUUGGAUCGACAGGAGAGCCGACGAUAUAUCGAGAUGUUCUAUGCCCUCAAGUACCGUAAACUGGUAAGUGGUUAUCGGUGAAGUGUAAACGGUACAAUUAAUGGGGGGUUUGAUUGUAGUUUUUUUAUGAAUGUGUGAAUGAAUUGCAAUGCAGGCGGAAGGUGUUCCACUGACGGAAGAGUGAAGGGGCUUGGAGAAGAGAAUGGCCCGUAUGUGAACUGUGAAGCGAGAGUGGGGGCUCGGGAUUGUGAUCCUGUACCUGUUUUGUGUGUUUACCGUGAAUAAAUAUAUUGUUUGUAUUGAAAUGUCAUUUUGUUUGACGAAAAGCUCCUUUUCGCAGUUGUUGUUUGUACUGGUCCUUGUUUUUUUCUGUGUCGCUCGCUGUGUUUUGGGUUUUUGGAGUCUGCUGCUGUGAUCUUUUUCCUGUACCAUUUUCCGGCAUUGUUCCAACGGUUUCAAGGUAUUAGGCUGAGAGAGCCCAAUUGAAUGCUUUGUUGCAUCGAUUAUCAUUUUGUUUCAGUUUCGCUCAUUUUAGCCACAAAGACAAGACAACAAAUGGAAUUUCGCUCACGUUUCUUUCUCG
rnacentral:lncRNA from 1 species